rnacentral:rRNA from 1 species
AGCAGCUCCAUAGCAACACUGUGCAUGGCUCAUUAAAACAGCCACAACCUGGGUCGUGGUCCUGCUACAUGGAUAUCUUCGGCAAUUCUGCAGCUAAUACAUGCACCAGCAUUCACCUGUGGUGAGUUGUGGUUGUUGCAUUCAGAAUUAAUGCAAGCUGUGCUUGAUGACCAGAUGAAUCAUUACAACUGCAUGGAUUGUAGUUUGUACACUGUUGAUGCUCUAUCAAGGUUUCUGACCUAUCAGCUUCCGAUGGCA